UACGAAGGGGGCUAGCGUUGCUCGGAAUCACUGGGCGUAAAGCGCACGUAGGCGGAUUGCUAAGUCAGGGGUGAAAUCCUGGAGCUCAACUCCAGAACUGCCUUUGAUACUGGCGAUCUUGAGUCCGGGAGAGGUGAGUGGAACUCCGAGUGUAGAGGUGAAAUUCGUAGAUAUUCGGAAGAACACCAGUGGCGAAGGCGGCUCACUGGCCCGGUACUGACGCUAAUGUGCGAAAGCGUGGGGAGCAAACAGG
rnacentral:rRNA from 1 species